rnacentral:rRNA from 1 species
AUGAACGCUAGCUACAGGCUUAACACAUGCAAGUCGAGGGGCAGCAUGAACUUAGCUUGCUAAGUUUGAUGGCGACCGGCGCACGGGUGAGUAACACGUAUCCAACCUGCCGAUGACUCGGGGAUAGCCUUUCGAAAGAAAGAUUAAUACCCGAUGGCAUAGUUCUUCCGCAUGGUAGAACUAUUAAAGAAUUUCGGUCAUCGAUGGGGAUGCGUUCCAUUAGGUUGUUGGCGGGGUAACGGCCCACCAAGCCUUCGAUGGAUAGGGGUUCUGAGAGGAAGGUCCCCCACAUUGGAACUGAGACACGGUCCAAACUCCUACGGGAGGCAGCAGUGAGGAAUAUUGGUCAAUGGACGAGAGUCUGAACCAGCCAAGUAGCGUGAAGGAUGACUGCCCUAUGGGUUGUAAACUUCUUUUAUACGGGAAUAAAGUGAGGCACGUGUGCCUUUUUGUAUGUACCGUAUGAAUAAGGAUCGGCUAACUCCGUGCCAGCAGCCGCGGUAAUACGGAGGAUCCGAGCGUUAUCCGGAUUUAUUGGGUUUAAAGGGAGCGUAGGCGGACGCUUAAGUCAGUUGUGAAAGUUUGCGGCUCAACCGUAAAAUUGCAGUUGAUACUGGGUGUCUUGAGUACAGUAGAGGCAGGCGGAAUUCGUGGUGUAGCGGUGAAAUGCUUAGAUAUCACGAAGAACUCCGAUUGCGAAGGCAGCUUGCUGGACUGUAACUGACGCUGAUGCUCGAAAGUGUGGGUAUCAAACAGGAUUAGAUACCCUGGUAGUCCACACAGUAAACGAUGAAUACUCGCUGUUUGCGAUAUACAGUAAGCGGCCAAGCGAAAGCGUUAAGUAUUCCACCUGGGGAGUACGCCGGCAACGGUGAAACUCAAAGGAAUUGACGGGGGCCCGCACAAGCAGUGGAGUAUGUGGUUUAAUUCGAAGCAACGCGAAGAACCUUACCAGGUCUUGACAUCCAACUAACGAAGUAGAGAUACAUUAGGUGCCCUUCGGGGAAAGUUGAGACAGGUGGUGCAUGGUUGUCGUCAGCUCGUGUCGUGAGAUGUUGGGUUAAGUCCCGCAACGAGCGCAACCCCUGUGAUUAGUUGCCAGCGAGUAAUGUCGGGAACUCUAAUCAAACUGCCGGUGAUAAAUCGGAGGAAGGUGGGGACGACGUCAAAUCAUCAUGCCCUUUAUGACUUGGGCUACACACGUACUACAAUGGCUAUAACAAAGAGAAGCGAGACAGUGAUGUGGAGCAAAACUCAAAAAAAUAGUCUCAGUUCGGAUUGAAGGCUGAAACUCGCCUUCAUGAAGCCGGAAUUGCUAGUAAUGGCAGGUCAGCAUACUGCCGUGAAUACGUUCCCGGGCCUUGUACACACCGCCCGUCACACCAUGAGAGUCGGGAACACCCGAAGCCUGUAGCCUAACCAUUCGGAGGGCGCAGUCGAAGGUGGGUUCGAUAAUUGGGGUG